UACGGGGGGAGCAAGCGUUGUUCGGAUUUACUGGGCGUAAAGGGCGCGUAGGCGGCCACGACAAGUCAGUUGUGAAAUCUCUGGGCUUAACUCAGAAAGGUCAACUGAUACUGCUCGGCUAGAGUGCGGAAGGGGCAACUGGAAUUCUCGGUGUAGCGGUGAAAUGCGUAGAUAUCGAGAGGAACACCUGCGGCGAAGGCGGGUUGCUGGGCCGACACUGACGCUGAUGCGCGAAAGCCAGGGGAGCGAACGGG
rnacentral:rRNA from 1 species